UUUUGAUAUGUGUUUAGAAAUUGCCAUAAAAUGGUCGCAAAUAUUAAAAAAGAUGACAUAGACCAAGUAUUUUAUGUAGACAAAGGAGGAAAAGAGACAAAAAAAAACAUCUCUUAUCGUAAAGUUUGCUAAUUCUAAAUCUAAAAUUAACUGAUGGAUGAGAAACCCGAACUAAAACAGUUUGAUAUGUUAAAAGGAGUCUAUGUGAACGAUUUUUUAAGCAGAGAAUCUUCGCAUCUAUUCAGUUAUACGAAAUCGUUGAGAGCUGCCGGAUACAAACAUAUUUUUGUGAAACAUGGAAGUGUUUUGUGAGAUGAGAUGAUAAUGCAAAGGCAAUACCCCAGCUAGCAUUUGGAAGAUUGUUUUUGAAAAAAUCACUUUGGUGAGUCUUCUUCGAGUCCUUUUGGUGACCAAAAAAUGAUUAACUGACUUGUAUGAUCGAAAAGAGACUCGAAAAUGACUCUCUCUAAUGAGUGAAAAGAGAUCAGUAUAAUAUACAACAACAAAAUGUAGGGGAAUCGCAAAUCAAUCAUUGAGAUGUGCAAAAUGUGACAAUUUUUCCGUUAUUUAUUAUCGAAUUGCGAUCAUCUAGAGAAUGAAAAAUGAUUAGUCUUAAAAGGAUCUGGCAGCUGUUUGAAAAGUGAUCAAAAUUGUGUCAUUUUUGAUCAUAUAUUGCACAGAUAAGUGCAUAAAUACUGCUUGUUUUGUUAUGCAAGGGCCAUUUUGUUUGUUGACUGACUAUCAAAAAGUUGAAUUACUGUUCAUUUAUAAAAAGUGCAUGGAGGCGUCAACAGCAAAAGUGAAAAAAAUAUGAAAAUGUGUACGUUUAUCUCUUUGUUUAUUUAUUAAUUUUUAUAAAGAAAAUGUCAGCAAGUUAAAUUACAAAAAUAGAAAAGGCUAAAAUAAAAACGAUGGCAAAAAGAGGCACAAAAGACGUAAACUGAAUAUGAGAAAAAUGAAGAAAAUUGCCAGAAACGUGAAUUGGUGAAGCAAAAUGAGACAGAACUUGAUUUAAAGAGUUUAUUGCAAAAACCGAUAAAUUAGCCUGCCAAUACAGCUGGAAGGGGACAGGGUAAAUCUGAGUGCAGAAAAGUGUUAUUUAUUUACAGUAAUCAAAAAUAUGUGUCAUCUCAAAUACUCAAGUAACGACAAGGAUAUUAACACAAUCCUACAAAAACAUUUUGUUCACGCUAGAGACCGCGUUACAAAUAGAAAACGGC